AUAGAAAGUAACUAAGGGCGUAUGGCGGAUGCCUAGGCUCACGGAGGCGAUGAAGGACGUGAUAAGCUGCGAUAAGCUCCGGGUAGGUGCAAAUGACCUUUGAUCCGGGGAUUUCCGAAUGGGACAACCCAGCACUCUGAAGGAGUGCUAUCCUGAUUUUCGUUCAGGAGGCUAACGCAGGGAACUGAAACAUCUUAGUACCUGCAGGAAAAGAAAAUAACUUAAUGAUUCCCCCAGUAGUGGCGAGCGAACGGGGAACAGCCCAAACCCACGACGUAGCAAUGCGCCGUGGGGGUUGUAGGACCACGUUGUCGUACUCUGAUUGUGAGGAGAACGUUCUGGAAAGGACGACCGUAGCGGGUGACAGUCCCGUAUCCGAAGCAUGACGAGGCGUAGUGUCAUCCUGAGUAGCGCGGAACACGAGUAAUUCUGCGUGAAUCUGCCGGGCCCAUCCGGUAAGGCUAAAUACUCCCGUGAGACCGAUAGUGAAGUUAGUACCGUGAGGGAAAGGUGAAAAGCACUCCUAUUAGGAGAGUGAAAUAGUUCCUGAAACCAUACGCCUACAAGCGGUCGGAGCAUAUUUUUUUAUGUGACGGCGUGCCUUUUGCAUAAUGAACCUACGAGUUACCAUGCCCAGCGAGGUUAAGGGGUUCAGCCCCGUAUCCGCAGUGAAAGCGAGCCUGAACAGGGCGUUCAGUUGGGUGGGGUAGACGCGAAACCAAGUGAUCUACACUUGACCAGGUUGAAGUUCCGGUAACACGGAAUGGAGGACCGCACGGAUAAGCGUUGAAAAGCUUCCCGAUGAGUUGAGUGUAGGAGUGAAAGGCCAAUCAAACUUGGAGAUAGCUCGUACUCCCCGAAAGGCAUUUAGGUGCCGCGUGCGAUGUUCUCCGUGAGAGGUAGAGCGACCGAUAGGUCAAGAGGGCUUCACCGCCUAUCGAGACCUGACGAACUCCGAAUGCUCACGGAUGGUAGUCGUGCAGUAAGGGGGCGGGUGCUAAGGUCCGUCCCCGAGAGGAGAAGAAUCCUGACCGUCGUCUAAGGUCCCCAAAUUCUGUCUAAGUUAGUCUAACGAAGUCUGGUCCCGGUGACAGCUAGGAUGUUGGCUUGGAAGCAGCCAUUCAUUCAAAGAGUGCGUAACAGCUCACUAGUCGAGGGUCCGGGCGUGGAUAAUAAUCGGGUAUGAAGUCAGAUACCGAAGGCGCGGGAUAGCAAUGUAUAUUAAAAGUAUCGGUAGGGGAGCAUUCCAUAUGCGUUGAAUGGUGAUGGUGAUUGAUCCUGGAGCGUAUGGAAAAGCAAAUGUAGGUAUAAGUAACGAUAAAGGGGGUAAGAUUCCCCCUCGCCGUAAGACUAAGGUUUCCCGGGCGAUGCCAAUCAUCCCGGGGUUAGUCGGGUCCUAAGUCUCAGCCGAACGGCGAUGGCGAUGGCAGACACGGUCAAUAUUCCGUGACUUGCCCAUUCAGCGAUGUGGAGACGGAGCAGUGACACUGUCGCGCCCUUACGGAUAUGGGCGUUGAAGGCUUUAGGCAAUGAUGGGUGCAGGCAAAUCCACACCCUGAGCUGAUGGUCGAUAGUACGGUUUUCCCCUCGGGGCGAACCGAUAGCACAGGUAAUCAUACUUCCAAGAAAAUCCGCUAAGCUCAAUGUUUGGGCAACCCGUACCGCAAACGGACACACGUAGUCGGGUAGAACAUACUAAGGCGUUGAGAGAUUCAUGGUUAAGGAACUAGGCAAACUGACCCCGUAACUUCGGGAUAAGGGGUCCUCGUUUUUUACGAGGCGCAGAGAAUAGGUCCAGGCAACUGUUUAACAAAAACACAGGGCUGUGCUAACUCGAGAGAUGAUGUAUACAGCCUGACACCUGCCCGGUGCUGGAAGGUUAAGAGGAGAGCUCAGACUUUUGUCGAAGGCUUGAAUUGAAGCCCCAGUAAACGGCGGCCGUAACUAUAACGGUCCUAAGGUAGCGAAAUUCCUUGUCGGGUAAGUUCCGACCUGCACGAAUGGUGUAAUGAUCCGGACGCUGUCUCAAUCAUGAUCUCAGUGAAAUUGUAGUAUCGGUGAAGAUGCCGAUUACCCGCGAUGGGACGAAAAGACCCCGUGAACCUUUACUACAGCUUAGCAUUGACCUUGGUCAUCCGAUGUGUAGGAUAGGCCGGAGGCUUUGAGGCGCGCACGCCAGUGUGCGUGGAGCCAUCCUUGAAAUACGGCCCUUUGGCUGUCUGAGGUCUAACGCGCUUGUUGCGCGGACAUUGCUUGGUGGGUAGUUUGACUGGGGUGGUCGCCUCCAAAAGCGUAACGGAGGCUUCCAAAGGUGCCCUCGGGUCGAUUGGUAACCGACCUCACAGAGUGUAAUGGCAUAAGGGCGCUUGACUGGGAGGCAGACAUGCCGAGCAGGCAGGAAACUGGGGCAUAGUGAUCCGGUGCAAGUGUAUGGAAACUGCAUCGCUCAAAGGAUAAAAGGUACUCCGGGGAUAACAGGCUGAUCCCCCCCAAGAGCUCAUAUCGACGGGGUGGUUUGGCACCUCGAUGUCGGCUCGUCACAUCCUGGGGCUGGAGAAGGUCCCAAGGGUUGGGCUGUUCGCCCAUUAAAGUGGCACGCGAGCUGGGUUCAGAACGUCGUGAGACAGUUCGGUCUCUAUCUAUCGUGGGCGUUGGAGUUUUGCGUGGUUCCGCCACUAGUACGAGAGGACCGUGGUGGACAGACCUCCGGUUUGCCAGUUGUGCCGCCAGGUGCACCGCUGGGUAUCUGAGUCUGGUAUGGAUAAGCGCUGAAAGCAUCUAAGUGCGAAGCCUUCCGCAAGAUUAGAACUCCUCAUUAGGGUCGUCACAGACGAUGACGUUGAUAGGGUGCAGGUGUAAAGACAGCGAUGUCAAAGCCGAGCACUACUAAUUGCCCGAAGCUUUCAUUCC
rfam:Prevotella intermedia 17 chromosome I, complete sequence.